rnacentral:rRNA from 1 species
UACGAAGGGGGCUAGCGUUGCUCGGAAUUACUGGGCGUAAAGCGCACGUAGGCGGCUUUGCAAGUUAGAGGUGAAAGCCCGGGGCUCAACUCCGGAAUUGCCUUUAAAACUGCAUCGCUAGAAUUGUGGAGAGGUAAGUGGAAUUCCGAGUGUAGAGGUGAAAUUCGUAGAUAUUCGGAAGAACACCAGUGGCGAAGGCGACUUACUGGACACAUAUUGACGCUGAGGUGCGAAAGCGUGGGGAGCAAACAGG